GUAGGUGGCAAGCGUUGUCCGGAAUUAUUGGGCGUAAAGCGCGCGCAGGGGUGGUUCUUUAAGUCUGAUGUGAAAGCCCCCGGGCUCAACCGGGGAGGGUCAUUGGAAACUGGGGAACUUGAGUGCAGGAGAGGAAAGUGGAAUUCCACGUGUAGCGGUGAAAUGCGUAGAUAUGUGGAGGAACACCAGUGGCGAAGGCGACUUUCUGGCCUGUAACUGACACUGAGGCGCGAAAGCGUGGGGAGCAAACAGGAUUAGAUACCCUGGUAGUCCACGCCGUAAACGAUGAGUGCUAAGUGUUGGGGGGUUUCCGCCCCUCAGUGCUGCAGCUAACGCAUUAAGCACUCCGCCUGGGGAGUACGGUCGCAAGACUG
rnacentral:rRNA from 1 species